GACGAACGCUGGCGGCGUGCCUAAUACAUGCAAGUUGAGCGCUGAAGGUUGGUACUUGUACCAACUGGAUGAGCAGCGAACGGGUGAGUAACGCGUGGGGAAUCUGCCUUUGAGCGGGGGACAACAUUUGGAAACGAAUGCUAAUACCGCAUAAAAACUUUAAACACAAGUUUUAAGUUUGAAAGAUGCAAUUGCAUCACUCAAAGAUGAUCCCGCGUUGUAUUAGCUAGUUGGUGAGGUAAAGGCUCACCAAGGCGAUGAUACAUAGCCGGCCUGAGAGGGUGAUCGGCCACAUUGGGACUGAGACACGGCCCAAACUCCUACGGGAGGCAGCAGUAGGGAAUCUUCGUCAAUGGACGAAAGUCUGACCGAGCAACGCCGCGUGAGUGAAGAAGGUUUUCGGAUCGUAAAACUCUGUUGGUAGAGAAGAACGUUGGUGAGAGUGGAAAGCUCAUCAAGUGACGGUAACUACCCAGAAAGGGACGGCUAACUACGUG
rnacentral:rRNA from 1 species